UUAACGUUGUUUUAAUCUUAAUGUUGGGUUUCAGUUGUUAACUGCGAAGCCUCCAUUUUACGAUACCCCCUUGACCGCAGCCCGUGCCAGAGGCUCUGAACCUCACAGGAUGGUGGGGGCAACUUGCAAACGCUAAAAUUGUUUACAACUUACGUUCCACGCAAGAGUUAGCACAAUAAACAGGAUGUUUUGAAAGAAAAAGGGAAUAAAUAUAUUUUAUAUCAUCUCCAAGAUACGUAAAAGCUGCUUUGAAAGGCGUAGAAAUGGUUCGGAGAUCAUACGAAAUGUUGGUCAACAUGGUUUCACAAAGUAUUAAUGUCGGGUACAUUUGGAAGGAAAGGACGACCAACGUCGGGUGGACUACGCAAAAAGUUGAACCGCAGCAGACGGCGUCGUCGUGAACGUGAAACGAAACGACAACUAAAUCCCAAAGAAAAUAACCUAAGUGUCCAGCGAAAUGUCAGACAGAAGAAUUAAUCCCAAACAAAAUGUCCUAAGUGUCCAGUGAAAUGUCAGACAGAAGGUGUUGCGUUGUGUCGUGCCGGUUUUCGACCCAACCUAAAGUUGAAGGCGUUCGCUUGUUUGGUGCCUAAUUGAAAAAGAAAAACUGAUGCAGGGUGCUGAGGAACACCACCAUCAAGUUCAAGAAAAUCACAGACAAGAGCAACAAGUGGAAUGAAUCAGUGUGCAACCCGUUCAAAACUUUCUACUUGACCAGAGCCGGGCGGCAACUGGAGCUGAGGUCAACCACAGAAUAUUACCUUCCACCUCAAAUAAUGACAAUGGUGCAGAGCAAGUCUACCGGCAAGCUCAAGAAAAUCAAGGACAAGGGCAAGCAGUCAUAUUGACGCAUUUCUUCAAAGAAUAAUUACUAUUGUUUGUAUAGUUCUGUAUUGUAAAUUAUCUAUUUACACUUUCAUACAUCCUAAUUGUAAGACAAUUAAAAUUGUCCUGAUUCAUGUUGCAACUCCAUUAUACCUAUACUGAUUAAAAACCUACUUUAUUUGCA